GCUCAAGUGUCCCAUUGUGUAACCCACUGAUAUUUAAAAUGACCCUCGAAACCAUCCUACAGGAUUAGGAAGAUAAAGUACAUUAAUUUUAGUAAAAGGAGAGAGGAGAGAGAACUCUUGUUGAGGAGCAAAACGAAGAAGAAAGAAACCUGGACAGGAAUCCUGGACGUGUGGGUUCUGGUUCUGACUCCUCCACCAGUGCAAACUUCCUGCGGUGACUUUGUCUCUGCACUUUCCUCUGCUUCAUGAGGGACCUGUGCUAGAUGACACAGACGAAAACUGCCAGCUCCCGAGAUCUAAGGGAACAUUCGGAGGCUUUCAAAGAGGUAAAGACAUCAAGACUAAACAAAUCUAAGAGCAGAGCUGGGAUUUAAACGCAUUUCGGUGACUCUAAAGCUUAACCUCGUAUCUACCCUCCUAUACUUUCCCAGGGGAUAAUAUGGAUCAAAUAAGAGGUUUGGAUUAGAUAAACUACAGACUCAGCAACCAGGAAUGGAGGUGGUCUUCUGUUUUGUCGAUAGUAAAGUGAGGCAAAGCACGCUAGAAUGACUGUCCUCACAAUAUGAGAACUCAGAAGCCCUGGCUGAGAAUGGGUGGGCUCCGUUCUGCAGUGGCUGAUCUACAGGAGCUCUUCUGCAUCUUCCAGCAUACAGCGGCCUUGGCCACAGAGCUAAAUCAGCGACUCUGGGGCUGCCUUGUUCUGGGUCUCACAGCUGGAGCGAGUUGUUAAACCCAGACAUUAUUAAAAUUCAGUGAUAUAAACUUAAAUGAAAUGAAUUAAAUGUAAAAUGAACUAGCAUAUACUUCAAAAAGUAUCUUCUCCUAAUCAUUACGUCUUUUUACUACUGUUAUCUAUGUUUUUAAGGUUAUUUACAUCAAUCCUACUUUGAAUGGUGGAAAGAAGAUAAAAUGGUGUGCUACUGUAUAUCACUUCCCAGCUCCUCAUUCAGUGAUUAGCAGCUUGCAAUCAGCCAAGGAAAGAGUAUUUACACUACAGAAAUUAGCAAACAGUACAAAUUAGUGUUGGACCUCCCCCGAAGCUGGUUAAACAUUUACCAGCACAGCGCUGGCUCAAACCAGCAAGUAUAAUCUGGGUCUCUUGCAAUCACUCUCAAAGAGAAAAGAGCAUAACUACCAUCCCACGGCAUGUAAGUCAGGGGCCCAUGAAGAAACAGACUGGGAGACAUGGCCUUCUUAUCCUCUGUUUCCUUAACCAGAAUAAAAUAAUUCUGAGUGGUUGGCACACAGCCAUGGACCUCUCAUGUUCAAUUCUUCAUCCCUGUUUGCAAGAGCUAAUUACAGUGAGGGGGUGUGCAAAGCAACAGUUCUUUGUGUUCAGAGUGAAAUAAUGGCUUAGUCACCCCUGAGAGUAUCAAGGCUCUGUACUUUUCCUCAGAACAGUGAGCACAAAUCCCAAUCUGAUGGCAUGUGACUUUUUCUUCUUCUAAAUGAAUCAGACUUUAUGAAUAGAAAUUUACUUUUCCUCCACCCGCUCAGGCCCAGCCAUGCCAGGUAGCAUAUUUUCUGUUUUUCUAGUUGAGUUGACUCACCAAUAGUUUUAGAAGCCUCUUGGUUCCCAUGUUUAGUUCUGAUAACAUCAGAGGGAGUUGGAAUCCUUGCUUUGCAAACUCACUGAUUAUAUAGCAUACAUUUGAUUCUGUUUUUGUGGAGAGAAAACAAAACCCACUCCUAAAACAGAGCUAAGCCCUGGGUUUGGGAAGGGAAUCUUCUCUUUUCAGACUUCUGGGACAAAACUAGACCAGUGAGCUGACCUGACUGCGGUUCCAAUGCCCUCUCCUAACCCCAGGACAAGGCAGGGUGGGUCUGAGCUGCGUACCAGGCCACCUUUCGACAAAAUUUAGGACCAAAAGGGUUCAGGCCUCAAAACCCUUAACACUGACAGACAUUGGUGCUCCCCAAAUCAUAGGUAAUUCAAAAUAAAAUUUCCAGUAACACAAAACCUAUGUGGAGGGCAGAGUAGUAUCUUGCAUAAGUCUGUAGAUUCUAGAGCCAGACUGCUUAGGUUUGAACCCUGGCUUUCCCAUUUAACCGUAUUGUGACAUUGGGCAACUUAAAAUCUGUGUCUCAACAGUAUAGCACAGAGAAGACAAGUAGUGACUCUGUGGCAUCUUACUACACUGAUAGACAGU